UACGUAGGGGGCGAGCGUUGUCCGGAUUUAUUGGGCGUAAAGAGCGUGUAGGCGGCCAGGUAGGUCCGUUGUGAAAACUCGAGGCUCAACCUCGAGACGUCGAUGGAAACCAUCUGGCUAGAGUCCGGAAGAGGAGAGUGGAAUUCCUGGUGUAGCGGUGAAAUGCGCAGAUAUCAGGAAGAACACCGAUGGCGAAGGCAGUGGGCUGGGCCGGUACUGACGCUGAGGAGCGAAAGCGUGGGGAGCGAACAGG
rnacentral:rRNA from 1 species